GCAAAUAUACAAGAGUAACUUGAAUUUUUGUACGUUGAACGUUUUUUUUUUUUUAUGUGAAUUUGGCCUUAACAAGCCAAUAUAGAGAUACUGCUACUGCUGACCAAAAAAAAUCACAAUUUAUCAGCCAAUUUAUGAGCAAUUAUUUGCUGUCUGAAAAUUUGGAAUAACUAUCAAUGUAUACCCUGAAAUAUAAAUUGCUAAACAAACUAAUUAUUUGUGGGAAAGCAUUGAUUGGUUCCUGAUAUGCACUGAAAUAGUGCUGGAUCAUAAGCAUUCAGAAGUAACACUGCUGUCUUUCUGAUUGUAGACUGAAGUUCUUGAACCAAGCCACUGAGGUUGGGGAACCAUGAACGGAGAAUAGAAGAAAGAGAUCCCACCCACCUGAGAGAUGACCUAUCAUAGUCAGGCUCCCCCCGAUUCCCUGCUGACUUAUAAAUCUUUAUGAGCUUGAUCAUGUGAGUGAGUGUGUGUGCGUGUGUGCGUGUGUGUGUGUGUGCGUGUGUGUGUGUGCGCGUGUGUGCGUGUGUGCGUGUGCGCGUGUGUGUGCGCGUGUGCGUGCGUGCGUGCGUGCGUGUGUGCGUGCGUGCGUGCGUGCGUGCGUGUGUGCGCGUGUGUGUGCGUGUGUGCGCGUGUGUGUGCGUGUGUGUGUGUGUGUGCGUGCGUGCGUGCGUGCGUGCGUUUAUCUGCACAGUGGGCUGGAUGCUAAUGAGUGCAGGCCGGUCUCCUGGCUCGGGUGGAGGCUGGGAGAGAGAGAGAGAAACCAAAAGAAGAGCGAAUAUGUGGUCACUGUAAGACAGGAAAAGGUGGACACAGAUGCACUUCCCUCCUUACUUGCACAAAAUAUUUACAAAUUAGAAAAACUUUUCCAAAAUUAUCCCAAAUUAUAAAUAAUUUUAAUUUCAUCUCUAAAGAAGAACAGUGUGCAAUUCUUCUUGGGGAAGGAACAACAGCCCCAAUUGCGGCACAGUUCAUUUCAGCCUGUCAUAACCUGAGGGACAGUGAGUGACCACCCACCCCAUAUAAACAUGUACAUAUUUAUUGAUUUACUUAUGCUGUUAUUGUUUUUUUAAGCAUAUUUUUAUUCAAAAGAAAGGCAUCAGCAUACAGUUUUAGAGCGUAAUUUCCCCCAUCUUUUCCCCAGAACAGUCCUGAUACUGUCAACAUAACAAGGAUAAAGAAAAGUAGAAAUUAUAUAGAAACAAUAAUAACUAGAAACUUAAAUAAUGGAUAAAAAUAAUUAAGUAAAAUAUACAGACAGAAAAUAAAUAAAAAAAUAAAAUAUGUGGAGGACAUUUGUCAAUGAACUAUGCUCCCUAGAGGAGCAAAGGGCUUAAGAAGAAGAAGAUGAGAGAUAUAUAUAUAUAUAAUAAUUGCUAAGACAUGACAAGGAUGAUGCUGUUAUUGUUAUAUGUUGUUACAUUUAUCAUUAUUAUUUUGCAUAUUAUAUAUAUGUAUGCUUUGGCAAUAAUUACAUUUGUAUUUCAUGCUAGUAAAGCAACUUGAAUUGAAUUGAAUUAAAUUGAGAAAGAGAAAGGCCAAGAGCUGAGCCCAAGAACAGCCCUCCACCUGCCCUGAGGCUCAUUUCCACUAACCCCACCAAUGCCAUGCAGCCUCAGUACAGCUCAGUAAAAGGGGGGGGGUGGGGGAGGUUGUUUAGAAGACUCUUUUUAUCAGUGGUAUUUCAAAGAAGGAAGAUCGGCAGCUUUAUUUGUGAAAAACAAACCACCCAGAGGACCCUGUACCUAAAACAUGCAGUAAUUGCACAGCACAUAUGAUGUACAGUAUUGUAAUUAAUGGUACAUUUUGUGUGAACAUAUAUAUCUGUGCAUGUCCUACUGUAGUGUGUGUGUGUGUUUUCUUUCUCUGUUUUUUUUUUUUGUUUGUUUGUUUUUUGCCAUUUUCUCCACAAUUUAGUCGUUGUUGACAGGGAGGAACUGGCUAUGACACCAUGCUGCCCAGGACUCUGAAAGCAACUGAUAGAUAAAAGACUGAACAAUUAUUUCUGAUUUCAAGCUUGUUUAAGACUAAGUGGUCACCAUGGUGCUUAUUUAGUCUUCAUGCUAUAUGGCUAGACACAGCCAGUCAUUUACUUUGUUAAAUCUCACAAUAUGCUUAUGUAUUAACCAUGUACCAUUCAUGUAUGGAAUUAUGUGUUAUUGUUAAGACACGUUUUGCUUAUAAAAGCAAGGACCGCCCCUGCUUUCUUCAGUUUGGCCUUAUCCACCUUGUUGUGCGUAGGUGCCGGACUCUUUCUGCAGAAAUAAAUCCUAUUUCUUAUAUGA